AUUGAACGCUGGCGGAAUGCUUUACACAUGCAAGUCGAACGGUAGAGGGGGCAACCCCUUGAGAGUGGCGAACGGGUGAGUAAUAUAUCGGAACGUGCCCAGUCGUGGGGAUAACGUAGCGAAAGUUACGCUAAUACCGCAUACGAUCUAAGGAUGAAAGCGGGGGAUCGCAAGACCUCGCGCGAUUGGAGCGGCCGAUAUCAGAUUAGGUAGUUGGUGAGGUAAAGGCUCACCAAGCCAACGAUCUGUAGCUGGUCUGAGAGGACGACCAGCCACACUGGAACUGAGACACGGUCCAGACUCCUACGGGAGGCAGCAGUGGGGGAAUUUUGGACAAUGGACGCAAGUCUGAUCCAGCCAUUCCGCGUGCAGGAUGAAGGCCCUCGGGUUGUAAACUGCUUUUGUACGGAACGAGAAGGUUUGUCUUAAUACGAUGAGCUCAUGACGGUACCGUAAGAAUAAGCACCGGCUAACUACGUGCCAGCAGCCGCGGU
rnacentral:rRNA from 1 species